UUCCUGUAAUUUCCUCACAGUCUUUAAUGAUGGCACAGCGAGGACCUUGGUCGGUUUGACUGGAACCAUUGAGGUGUUUUAUGAAGGGAAACUCUACAAUAUUCCAGUGAGUUUGUGGCUGACUUAUGAAGGCCGUGUUCAGUGAAGUUCCUCCUCUGCAUUUGCGUCUACCCAGAAGAUUCAGGUUCUGCUUAUCAGAAACGCUCAGUUGAGGAAAUCUCACACGUGACGCUGGACAGAGAGAGGACGAUCUUCCUUUCUCCG